rnacentral:rRNA from 1 species
AUGACGGUACCCAAAGAAUAAGCACCGGCUAACUUCGUGCCAGCAGCCGCGGUAAUACGAAGGGUGCAAGCGUUACUCGGAAUUACUGGGCGUAAAGCGUGCGUAGGUGGUCGUUUAAGUCCGUUGUGAAAGCCCUGGGCUCAACCUGGGAACUGCAGUGGAUACUGGGCGACUAGAAUGUGGUAGAGGGUAGCGGAAUUCCUGGUGUAGCAGUGAAAUGCGUAGAGAUCAGGAGGAACAUCCAUGGCGAAGGCAGCUACCUGGACCAACAUUGACACUGAGGCACGAAAGCGUGGGGAGCAAACAGGAUUAGAUACCCUGGUAGUCCACGCCCUAAACGAUG